ACAACAAAGAUAUUCCUUCCCGCAAAAAAAUGAGUAUUAUUCUUCUACUGCACUUAAUUUUGAGUUCAUCUCUCUUAAGCGGUAUUAAAUGCAGCGUUCAGAUGGAACAAUCUGGAGUAUAUGUGAAAAGACCUGGAGAAUCCCUCUCUCUCACCUGCAAAGGUUCUGGUUUUAACUUUGGAAGCUAUGGCAUGGAUUGGGUGAGACAGGCUCCAGGAAAAGGACUGGAAUGGAUUGCAGUUAUUUGGUACGAUGGCAGUAAGCAACUCUAUGCAGAGUCUGUCAAAGGACGCUUCACCAUCUCCAGGGACAAUGCCAAAAGCCAGCUGUAUCUUCAAAUGAACAGCCUCAAAGCUGAAGACACGGCAGUCUAUUACUGUGCGAGAGACACAGUGAGAGGAAGUGAAUCUGAAGCUAAGCAAGAACCUUCCUUUCUUCAGAGCAGCUCCGCAACUUCAUUUAGCUCCAGAUCAUGGAUUAAUCAAUAA